UACGUAGGGUGCUAGCGUUGUCCGGAUUUAUUGGGCGUAAAGAGCGUGUAGGCGGCCAGGUAGGUCUGGUGUGAAAACUCGAGGCUUAACCUUGAGAUGUCAUCGGAAACCAUUUGGCUAGAGUCCGGAAGAGGAAAGUGGAAUUCCUGGUGUAGCGGUGAAAUGCGCAGAUAUCAGGAAGAACACCCGUGGCUAAGGCGGUUCUCUAGUACGGUACUGACGCUGAGACGCGAAAGCGUGGGGAGCGAACAGG
rnacentral:rRNA from 1 species